rnacentral:lncRNA from 1 species
GCAGCAGCCGACCUCUGCUCGGAGGGGAGCAAUGGCUGCCAACGGAGGCGGGUACCGGGCCGAGGACGACUACGACUACCUCUUCAAGGUGGUGCUCAUCGGCGACUCCGGCGUCGGCAAGUCCAACCUCCUCUCCCGCUUCACCAAGAAUGAGUUCAGCCUCGAGUCCAAGUCCACCAUCGGCGUCGAGUUCGCCACCCGCAGCCUCCAGGUCGACGGCAAGGUCAUCAAGGCCCAGAUUUGGGACACCGCCGGCCAGGAGAGGUAUCCCUUGAUCUGCUCACCGUCUUCGCUUAGGCAUCCGCGGUGCAUUGGUGUAGAUUUGUUCUCUACUUUCUCGUGGGCUCCACCAAUGGGGUGGCAAAAUGUGAUCUCAGGAGCAUCCUCCGCUUGAUUUCGGGAAGUUGCCUAACUGUUUGGUCGCGGUUGCUCGUUUACUAGCUUUCUUGCUUGUUUUGGGAGCUAAAUUUCGUACUGCUAUUUCGACAUGGGUUUCCCGCGAUUGGUGAUCUGGUGGAGAUUGCCAUUUAGGUUAUGAUUUACCACAAGUAAGAUCAUCGAGGAAUCCCCCAGCUUGGCAAGAUUUAGUGAAAGGCGGGAUCUUGGGGUUGGGGGUGGUUCAGAUGUCCAUUGGUUGUUUCUACCAGUUAGAUGGAUGGGCACAUUUCGAUAUUUGGUGGUUGAGAUGUCGGUUACUGUCAUGCCUUGUUGGCAAUUGCACGGGCAAAUUUCACUUCCCUCGUGUUUGGUCCAUUCUAUUUGUGCCUUCUUCCAAGACCCAGACAUAACAGGGGGCAGGGGCUAUAUAGUUUGAACUAUGUUACCGAGAGAUCUCAGUUCAACUUUGAUACCAACUGCUCACUGUGGAAGAACCAGAAAGGUUAGACGACUAGAUGAGCAUGAGGUCAUUACUCAUUAGUAUUCUAACUGAAAUCGGCAUUAGUGUAUUUAACCAGUGGGUUUUUUACUGGUGUAUUUAACCAGUAGUUAGUACUAACUAUUAAUUGAGUUUGCAAGGCAGGAAAAGUUACAGAGGAUUUUGUGCCCCAGAAUUGUGUAUUUGUCAGAAUUGUCUUACUUCAACUUCAGAUGUUGAGACACGGGAUGCUGACAAAUGAACUUGUUCCUUGUGACAUUCUGUUUCUAUACAAUAAGCAAAUAUGCAGUUACACUGUUCAUAGUUAAGCAAACAUCCUCGUGGCCUUUCGCUCUUGAGCACAAUAGCAAACAUUGGCCUAAAAAGAGAAAAAAAGAGGAUUAACUGAAUUUUCAGUUUGUAUUGGAGUGGAUGCAUGUCUUUUGGAAGGUACAUAUUUCACUUUUUUGAAUUUUGAAGAGGUUGAUGUGCACAGAUGCAUCUGCAGUACGUAUCAACUCAAUACAGGCACUGUGAUGUUGUGCACGACUAGUAUCACAAUGUUGGUCAUAUUCAAAAAAAGUUGGAAGUGGUAGAAGUGUCUUUUUUUUUUCAAAUUUUCAUCAUUUUACCAUCAUAUCAUCUGAUUGAGAUUAUAUAGGAGAAUCAGCUGAAAGGAGGCUACCAAAAUCAGGAAUGAUUGUUUUCUGGUCGGAACUUUGUUUGGGCAAAUCAGUCUAAGAAUCCACUCUAACAGAAAUUUGGUUUAACAGUUCUAGAUUCAGGGAGUUUACCCCCCCCCCCCCCCUUUUUUUUUUCGUUUUACCAUUUGAUGGAGCUAUCGACAUAAUUUUCGAAUUUAUAUUUGACCUUAGUUGCUGAAAGGAAAGGAUCUAGAAUAGCUAUAGCUCAUAACUAGCUGAUUCUGUAGAGCUCCACAGCAACAUUUUUUUUGUGGAUUCCAAAUUCAGGCAGGUUUACACUCUCCUAGGGAUACACUGACAUGUUAGAUCCCAAUCGCAAUGGCAUCACAGGAACAUGAACAGGAAAUUCUCAUAUUCACAUAUCUUACUUCUCUUACUGUUUUAUGCUUGUGAUUUUAGGUACCGUGCUAUUACAAGUGCCUAUUACCGAGGAGCUGUAGGAGCACUACUUGUCUAUGAUGUCACCCGCCGUGCUACAUUCGACAAUGUGGGCCGUUGGCUGAGGGAGCUCAGAGACCACACAGACCAAAGCAUCGUUGUUAUGCUGAUUGGCAACAAAUCCGAUCUCCGCCACUUGGUGACUAUCUCGACUGAAGACG